CAAGUUACAGAUGCUACCAUGAUGCCAACCUACUUCCCUGGGCAGAUGACCUCACCAAAUGUGCCCUAGCACCCCACCUCACCAGAGCCCUACCCAGGCUGGGAAAGAUGGAAACAGGCUGAAAGCUACCUGGCAACAUACAGAAUAAGAAUACAGGCCACCAGGUUCCAGAUGCUACCAUGAUGCCAACCAGACUUCCCUGGACAAACAACCCCACCAACAUGUCCUGGAGCUCCGAUUCCCCAGAACCCCGCCCCACUAGGGAAAGAGAGAUGCAGGCUGGAAGUAUGGGUUGCUCUGUCAAUGCCCAUGUUUAGCAGGAAGCUAUAACAGAAGCCAGACCUUUCACCUUCUGCAUCAUACAAUGACCUUGGGUCCAUAUUCCCAGAGGGUUAAAGAAUAGGAAAGCUAUCAGGGGAGGGGAUGGGAUAUGGAGAUGUGGUGGUGGAAAUUGUGUGGAGUUGUAUCCCUCUUAUCCUAUGGUUUAGUCAAUGUUUCCUUUUUAUAAAUAAAAAAAAUUUAAAAAACUGAACCGCUAAUCAAACUCUGAAAAUAAAAUACAGGGCUGGUGAAAUAAAAAAAAUGCAUGCAUGAGCCUCUUUGGGAGAAUGUGUGGAGAGUCUUUAAGCAAAUAAAAAUGGAAUUACCUUAUGACCCAGCUAUGCCAUUCUUAAACAUUUAAC